GAGCUAAUUCUGCCUUGGCAGAGCUGGGGCCAGAGGCAAUGCAGUGGAUCUCUGGCAGCUGCAUUUUUGCCAGAGAGAACUGAUAAAAAGAUUUUUGGAGUGAAAUUCUAAAGGAGCUGCAUCAGGAACUCCCCAACACAAAUAACAGGCUGUCAGCACCGGUGUCAUUUCACCUGUGCUAAUAUUGCAGAUGUUAUAGGAGCACAGAAUAUUCAGUAGCAACUAUCCUGACUUUACUGAGGUUAUAUACACAUUUUUACAGAGCUGUUAGUUAAAGUCUUCCUGGCUUAUCUGUUAACACAGGGAAUGCUUGCUGUAGGAAUGAAAAAUAAUGUGAGUAAAUUGCAAUACCAAAAUUAAGCAGAAAAAAAGCCUUUUGAAGUAUUGCCCUGUGGGAUUAGUUUAGACUAGUUUGGUCAGGUUUGGGAAGCGUUAGAAGACGGAGGAUCUGAAAAUGCGGAGAAUCUCAGUUCUGACAUGAGAGAAAAGGCAUUUUACCCAUCUCAUCACUUACAGAUGUAACACUGAGCAAGACAGAGGCAAACCUUCUAAAGGAUUUCGAUGUGGAAAAAAAAUGUGACAAGCAGGGCUACCCCUGCAUAGAGAGAGGCUGACUGGGUCACUGGACAGGAUGCUCUGGUAUGGCCACAGGCCACCAAAGACUGGCUUCCUCUUUAAGCUGGGCUUUUGGCAAGAGUACAGCUUUCUGGAAGUCCAACAGAAAACAGUAAGUUCAAAGAGAUUCUUCAUUAUGUAAUCAGAACAACUUCUGUAAGUGACAACAGCUUGGAGGAGGAAGUGGAUGUUACCUGGGAUCUUAGGAACGGGUGUGUGAGACUGGCUUGAUCCAUCAGACCAGGGGUUCAUCCUAACAAACACAGUCUUGGCAUAGAUGGAGAA